UUAAGUUAUUAAGGGCGCACGGUGGAUGCCUUGGCACUAGAAGCCGAUGAAGGACGUUACUAACGACGAUAUGCUUUGGGGAGCUGUAAGUAAGCUUUGAUCCAGAGAUUUCCGAAUGGGGAAACCCAGCAUGAGUUAUGUCAUGUUAUAGAUAUGUGAAUACAUAGCAUAUCAGAAGGCACACCCGGAGAACUGAAACAUCUUAGUACCCGGAGGAAGAGAAAGAAAAUUCGAUUCCCUUAGUAGCGGCGAGCGAAACGGGAAGAGCCCAAACCAAAAAGCUUGCUUGUUGGGGUUGUAGGACACUCUAUACGGAGUUACAAAGGACGACAUUAGACGAAUCAUCUGGAAAGAUGAAUCAAAGAAGGUAAUAAUCCUGUAGUCGAAAAUGUUGUCUCUCUUGAGUGGAUCCUGAGUACGACGGAGCACGUGAAAUUCCGUCGGAAUCUGGGAGGACCAUCUCCUAAGGCUAAAUACUCUCUAGUGACCGAUAGUGAACCAGUACCGUGAGGGAAAGGUGAAAAGCACCCCGGAAGGAGAGUGAAAUAGAACCUGAAACCGUGUGCUUACAAGUAGUCAGAGCCCGUUAAUGGGUGAUGGCGUGCCUUUUGUAGAAUGAACCGGCGAGUUACGAUUUGAUGCAAGGUUAAGCAGUAAAUGUGGAGCCGUAGCGAAAGCGAGUCUGAAUAGGGCGUUUAGUAUUUGGUCGUAGACCCGAAACCAGGUGAUCUACCCUUGGUCAGGUUGAAGUUCAGGUAACACUGAAUGGAGGACCGAACCGACUUACGUUGAAAAGUGAGCGGAUGAACUGAGGGUAGCGGAGAAAUUCCAAUCGAACCUGGAGAUAGCUGGUUCUCUCCGAAAUAGCUUUAGGGCUAGCCUCAAGUGAUGAUUAUUGGAGGUAGAGCACUGUUUGGACGAGGGGCCCCUCUCGGGUUACCGAAUUCAGACAAACUCCGAAUGCCAAUUAAUUUAACUUGGGAGUCAGAACAUGGGUGAUAAGGUCCGUGUUCGAAAGGGAAACAGCCCAGACCACCAGCUAAGGUCCCAAAAUAUAUGUUAAGUGGAAAAGGAUGUGGCGUUGCCCAGACAACUAGGAUGUUGGCUUAGAAGCAGCCAUCAUUUAAAGAGUGCGUAAUAGCUCACUAGUCGAGUGACACUGCGCCGAAAAUGUACCGGGGCUAAACAUAUUACCGAAGCUGUGGAUUGUCCUUUGGACAAUGGUAGGAGAGCGUUCUAAGGGCGUUGAAGCAUGAUCGUAAGGACAUGUGGAGCGCUUAGAAGUGAGAAUGCCGGUGUGAGUAGCGAAAGACGGGUGAGAAUCCCGUCCACCGAUUGACUAAGGUUUCCAGAGGAAGGCUCGUCCGCUCUGGGUUAGUCGGGUCCUAAGCUGAGGCCGACAGGCGUAGGCGAUGGAUAACAGGUUGAUAUUCCUGUACCACCUAUAAUCGUUUUAAUCGAUGGGGGGACGCAGUAGGAUAGGCGAAGCGUGCGAUUGGAUUGCACGUCUAAGCAGUAAGGCUGAGUAUUAGGCAAAUCCGGUACUCGUUAAGGCUGAGCUGUGAUGGGGAGAAGACAUUGAGUCUUCGAGUCGUUGAUUUCACACUGCCGAGAAAAGCCUCUAGAUAGAAAAUAGGUGCCCGUACCGCAAACCGACACAGGUAGUCAAGAUGAGAAUUCUAAGGUGAGCGAGCGAACUCUCGUUAAGGAACUCGGCAAAAUGACCCCGUAACUUCGGGAGAAGGGGUGCUCUUUAGGGUUAACGCCCAGAAGAGCCGCAGUGAAUAGGCCCAAGCGACUGUUUAUCAAAAACACAGGUCUCUGCUAAACCGUAAGGUGAUGUAUAGGGGCUGACGCCUGCCCGGUGCUGGAAGGUUAAGAGGAGUGGUUAGCUUCUGCGAAGCUACGAAUCGAAGCCCCAGUAAACGGCGGCCGUAACUAUAACGGUCCUAAGGUAGCGAAAUUCCUUGUCGGGUAAGUUCCGACCCGCACGAAAGGCGUAACGAUUUGGGCACUGUCUCAACGAGAGACUCGGUGAAAUCAUAGUACCUGUGAAGAUGCAGGUUACCCGCGACAGGACGGAAAGACCCCGUGGAGCUUUACUGUAGCCUGAUAUUGAAAUUCGGCACAGCUUGUACAGGAUAGGUAGGAGCCUUUGAAACGUGAGCGCUAGCUUACGUGGAGGCGCUGGUGGGAUACUACCCUAGCUGUGUUGGCUUUCUAACCCGCACCACUUAUCGUGGUGGGAGACAGUGUCAGGCGGGCAGUUUGACUGGGGCGGUCGCCUCCUAAAAGGUAACGGAGGCGCUCAAAGGUUCCCUCAGAAUGGUUGGAAAUCAUUCAUAGAGUGUAAAGGCAUAAGGGAGCUUGACUGCGAGACCUACAAGUCGAGCAGGGUCGAAAGACGGACUUAGUGAUCCGGUGGUUCCGCAUGGAAGGGCCAUCGCUCAACGGAUAAAAGCUACCCCGGGGAUAACAGGCUUAUCUCCCCCAAGAGUUCACAUCGACGGGGAGGUUUGGCACCUCGAUGUCGGCUCAUCGCAUCCUGGGGCUGUAGUCGGUCCCAAGGGUUGGGCUGUUCGCCCAUUAAAGCGGUACGCGAGCUGGGUUCAGAACGUCGUGAGACAGUUCGGUCCCUAUCCGUCGUGGGCGUAGGAAAUUUGAGAGGAGCUGUCCUUAGUACGAGAGGACCGGGAUGGACAUACCUCUGGUGUACCAGUUGUCGUGCCAACGGCAUAGCUGGGUAGCUAUGUGUGGACGGGAUAAGUGCUGAAAGCAUCUAAGCAUGAAGCCCCCCUCAAGAUGAGAUUUCCCAACUUCGGUUAUAAGAUCCCUCAAAGAUGAUGAGGUUAAUAGGUUCGAGGUGGAAGCAUGGUGACAUGUGGAGCUGACGAAUACUAAUCGAUCGAAGACUUAAUCAA
rnacentral:rRNA from 1 species